rnacentral:misc_RNA from 1 species
CCUCACCGCCAAGCUGAAUUUUAAUAUAUCGAAAACAGUCUAUUGGAAAAAUGGUGCACCGCAAAGUGUGUCAUGGAUAGAAUGGAUACUCGAGCGCCCUGAUUACAGCUUAAAGAAUGCUGAUCUUUCAGAGUAUGACUAACAAUCGUGCGUUGUUUCACGCGAAUGUAAAUGUAUAACGCAAGUCAUAUUCUAGGGCUGCAGUCAUGUAUUCUACCGUCAUAAACACCUUGAGAGGACUUAGAAAACACUCGCUUCUAUACGUAGUUCUCGUGGUUGCAUCAUCAACUGUGUUUCAUGGCAGUAAAACAUAUGGCCCUGACUUCUUCAUCACUAAAAAAAAAAACAAGCUGAGACUAUUGAACUAUUGAAGCUGAGACUAUUAAACUCUUGUUUCGCACUACUCCUUUUGAAAUGCACCGCAGUGCCAGUCUGAUAAAACAGGAAGUAUAAAACAGGAAGUAUAGAUAUCGCACAAAUCUGAUAACACCAUAAGUAAAAAAGUACCGUUAUAUUGAGCAACGAGCAGCGCGGCGAACGUGAUCUGAUACAUGCUAAACAGCGUGCAUUGCCACAUAAAAGACACGGCAUCGUAUUUUGGGUGUCACUUUCGGCAAUCAGCUGAACGGUGCAAGGCAAAGAUUGAAGGCGUUGCCUGCUAUAGGCAAGAAAAUGCAAUAUUUUUUAACCCUAGUGUUCAGCUUCAGUAUAGCUCUGAGCUUUUGCCCUGUUAACUCUUUCCUUAUUCCACAUGAAGGCAACGACAAGUGCCAAGAGUACACAACCUAUGAAGAUUGUGUGAAGGAAGCGUACAUGGCGGCCGCAAAAUGUCGAGUUUCAAGACUCCCAUUACUCACGUUCAACAUUUACCAGGUUUGUGAUGGAUAUCAAGACAAGU